rnacentral:rRNA from 1 species
UCCGGAGGGUGCAAGCGUUAAUCGGAAUUACUGGGCGUAAAGCGUGCGCAGGCGGUUUGUUAAGUCUGUUGUGAAAUCCCCGAGCUCAACUUGGGAAUUGCAAUGGAUACUGGCAGGCUGGAGUAUGGUAGAGGAAGGUGGAAUUCCCGGUGUAGCAGUGAAAUGCGUAGAGAUCGGGAGGAACACCAGUGGCGAAGGCGGCCUUCUGGACCAAUACUGACGCUCAUGCACGAAAGCGUGGGGAGCAAACAGG